GACGAACGCUGGCGGCGUGCUUAACACAUGCAAGUCGAACGGUAAGGCCCUGUAUUUGUGGGAUGCUCGAGUGGCGAACGGGUGAGUAAAACGUGAGUAACCUGCCCUUGACUUUGGGAUACCUCAAGGAAACUGGGGCUAAUACAGGAUAGGAGAUCUUGCUGCACGGUGGGGGUUGGAAAGUUUCGGCGGUUGGGGAUGGACUCGCGGCUUAUCAGCUUGUUGGUGGGGUAGUGGCUUACCAAGGCAUCGACGGGUAGCCGGCCUGCGAGGGUGACCGGCCACAUAGGGACUGGGAUGCGAGCCGGACGCCUACGGGGGGCAGCGGUGGAGGUUAGUGCACGAUAGGCGGAAGGCGGAUGCAGCAACGCCGCGUGCUGGAUGUCGGUCUUCGGGGUGUAAACCUCUUGCGCCUGUAACGAAGCGUGAGUGACGGUAAUGGGUAAAGAAGCACCGGCUAACUACGUG
rnacentral:rRNA from 1 species